rnacentral:miRNA from 1 species
GUGUGUGUGUGUGUGUGUGUGUGUGUGUGUGCGUGUAUGCAUGCACACACGCGCACACACACACACACACAAUGUGU